rnacentral:rRNA from 1 species
UUUACUGGGUGUAAAGGGAGCGUAGACGGCAGCACAAGUCUGGAGUGAAAUGCCGGGGCUUAACCCCGGCCUGCCGUUGAAACUGGCGGCCUCGAGUGGGCGAGAAGUAUGCGGAAUGCGUGGUGUAGCGGUGAAAUGCAUAGAUAUCACGCAGAACUCCGAUUGCGAAGGCAGCAUACCGGCGCCCUACUGACGCUGAGGCACGAAAGCGUGGGUAUCGAACAG